AAAAAACAUUUUUUGAACAAAGAAACUAUCUUGGAAGUGGAUUCUCUAGACCCAGGCACCUCAGCAGACACCACAUGGGGCAGAGAUGGGCCCAGGAGAUGGAGCCCUCCGAGAGAGAAUAUCAAGUUCAUAGAAUGGGAACCCAGCUAGUAUUUGUCACUUGGGCUGCCCAGCAUCUGAGACCCCAUUUGUGGGAAUCCCAAGAAGCAGGGAGAUAAUGGCAGACGAAUGGGAGGGACACGCUCCCCUCAAUUCCUGCUGGAGCAUGGACACUGGACCUAACCAUGACCAGCCAGAAGCCUGACUCCAGACUCCGAAUCUGGAGGUAGAAAGGCCAGCUGGAAGGGUUGGUCAGAGACAGUGGUAAGUCCAGAGUCCAGGGCCUUGUUCAGAGCAGGUGGCUGUCAGUCCAAGAUCUGAUCAUGCCUGACUUGGGUGGUUCCUGCCUGAGCCAGGUAUCACAGUGUUCCCAGCAACUCCUUCUCACCUUACGCUCAGCUCCAGCAUGAAGCCAAGAAUGCUGAGUGCGGUGGAUCCCACUGAGUCCAGAAUGCAGGACCACAAGGAGAGGCCUCUCUUCUCCGGGCAGUGGGGACAUUCUCCAUGUGCCAGAAAGGUCAGCGAUAAGUUCAUCUUAGAGGCAACAGGGCUCACGUUGCCACCCUGGCCUC
rnacentral:lncRNA from 10 species